CAAACCCAAUGUGAACCAUACCAAACUGUUGCCUCGGCGGGGUCACGCCCCGGGUGCGUCGCAGCCCCGGAACCAGGCGCCCGCCGGAGGGACCAACCAAACUCUUUCUGUAGUCCCCUCGCGGACGUUAUUUCUUACAGCUCUGAGCAAAAAUUCAAAAUGAAUCAAAACUUUCAACAACGGAUCUCUUGGUUCUGGCAUCGAUGAAGAACGCAGCGAAAUGCGAUAAGUAAUGUGAAUUGCAGAAUUCAGUGAAUCAUCGAAUCUUUGAACGCACAUUGCGCCCGCCAGUAUUCUGGCGGGCAUGCCUGUCCGAGCGUCAUUUCAACCCUCGAACCCCUCCGGGGGGUCGGCGUUGGGGAUCGGGAACCCCUAAGACGGGAUCCCGGCCCCGAAAUACAGUGGCGGUCUCGCCGCAGCCUCUCCUGCGCAGUAGUUUGCACAACUCGCACCGGGAGCGCGGCGCGUCCACGUCCGU
rnacentral:rRNA from 1 species